rnacentral:rRNA from 1 species
GCAAGUCGAACGGUAACAGGAAGCAGCUUGCUGCUUCGCUGACGAGUGGCGGACGGGUGAGUAAUGUCUGGGAAACUGCCUGAUGGAGGGGGAUAACUACUGGAAACGGUAGCUAAUACCGCAUAACGUCGCAAGACCAAAGUGGGGGACCUUCGGGCCUCAUGCCAUCAGAUGUGCCCAGAUGGGAUUAGCUAGUUGGUGGGGUAACGGCUCACCAAGGCGACGAUCCCUAGCUGGUCUGAGAGGAUGACCAGCCACACUGGAACUGAGACACGGUCCAGACUCCUACGGGAGGCAGCAGUGGGGAAUAUUGCACAAUGGGCGCAAGCCUGAUGCAGCCAUGCCGCGUGUAUGAAGAAGGCCUUCGGGUUGUAAAGUACUUUCAGUGAGGAGGAAGGCAUGAUGCUUAAUACGCAUCGUGAUUGACGUUACUCACAGAAGAAGCACCGGCUAACUCCGUGCCAGCAGCCGCGGUAAUACGGAGGGUGCAAGCGUUAAUCGGAAUUACUGGGCGUAAAGCGCACGCAGGCGGUCUGUUAAGUCAAAUGUGAAAUCCCCGGGCUCAACCCGGGAACUGCAUUUGAAACUGGCAGGCUUGAGUCUCGUAAAGGGGGGUAAAAUUCCAGGUGUAGCGGUGAAAUGCGUAAAGAUCUGGAGGAAUACCGGUGGCGAAGGCGGCCCCCUGGACAAAAACUGACGCUCAGGUGCGAAAGCGUGGGGAGCAAACAGGAUUAGAUA